AGCGGUUGUGUUGCCUAAACUUAACUUCCUGUUUAUUUUGAAAGGACACAAUGCAUGUAACGAGCGUAUAUUGACACGCCGUCCCCGGUCCGUCCAAAAGUAACGCAAGAGCGGUACCCUGUGCGUCGGUCCCCGAUGCCGAGGGGCACUGACCAAGCGGCGGUAUUUGACGAGUCGGGAGUGAGAAUGUGUUGGCAUAAAAUGAGCUAACAUGUUCAUACCAUGUGAAAAAUUAUAAAAAUACAUCUCCGCUUGCAGGUGGACUGGACUGGCCUUUAGUUUUAGAGGGUGUGUUUAAUUGUCAGCAUAAAAUGAAUACUGUGUUGACUACUGUAUAUGAUGACACUGAAGUGCUAUAAACUUAGUGAUAGUGCACAGUAGUAGUUGUAGUAGUAGUAGUAGUAGUAGUAGUAAUAGUGAUAUGCACAGUGUGGUUUAUUUAUGUUCACAUGCUAUACACAGGGAUUAAUUCUGAUUCUUUCUUCUUUAACAACCUGUAACGAAAUCUCCGAUUUAAUCAUUCAGACAAAAUUGGUCAGGUGAAAGAAAGCGGGAGUUUUUGAUGGCUAUGUGAUGGCAGGAUUGAAUUUUGAAAGGAAUAAUGUCUUUGUUUGGACUUAGAGAUUUAUGUUAUAGACUUUUUAUAUAGAAGAGCAACAAGGUAUUGAAUUAAUAUGAACUUGAAAUGUGCAGCCUGUUAAAUUUUGUUUUAUAUGCUUGACCAAGUGACUCUGUGCUUCAUUAACUUGCCCGGGUGUGGAUGGAUUCAGAAAAGAACGAUUUGUACUAAAAUUUACAUAUUCAGAGUUUGAGUUUCUAUAUUAACUUCACAUCACGGUUACUUUAUUAGCUUGUCAAAACCAUGUUUAAUUAACUUUUCACUUGUCUAAAACUGAAACUGGAGUGUCAGCAUGUUUUGAGUGUCCUAUCAGAAACCUUCCACUAGAGGGCAGCCAAUCAUCACUCUAACCAUCCUCUGCAUUUUGUAAUUUCUUGUAAAAUCAGUGUUUAUGCAGCUUAGCUACUCUGGUUUAGUGCCCUCUGGUUGGGUGAGAAGCUACACACCACACCACCUCCACAGGUGUACAUUUGAGCUGCAAAAUACAGGCUUUUAUGGGUUAAUUCCAACAAGAAAUGUGUUACUAAAUGUCCUGAAAUCUGGCAAACGCUUGUGUGAGGUUACUCUGCAGCCUCUGAUUUAGUAGAGUAUCCUCUGCAACAGGAUUUUACCCAACAUGAAUGUCUUUUUGAUGAUAUUAUUUUGUGUUAAAUGUUGCUUAGUUUGCUAAAGUGAACCUCUUAAGUUGUCUCACAUGACCAUCUCAGUAAAGGCUAGGUCAUAUGUUUGCCUGCUUCUAGGCCAAAGUGGGACGACCAGAAAGAAAAUGCAAGGACAUGAAUGAUGCUUUUGUUUGCACGUGUCUGUCUGACACAAUUCACAAUACCCAAGCCUGUAUAAAUAUCUGUAUCUUAUACACUGAAAAAAAGGGAAAUAGCAGGUCUUUGAAUUUACAAAAAUGUAGUUAGUAUAUGUAACACAAUUCAUUAAUAUUCCUUGUGUAAACAUGGUUUAAUCAUGUAGACUUCAGUUGUUUAUGGGAAAUGUUGAAUAUACAAGUUUCUCUCGCGUUGAUAGAAAGUGAUUGAAUUGAAAAAUUGAAAUCGAUGUAAUUGAGAUUUGUCACCACCGGAAAUGGAAUAUAUUUAAAAACGCGCGGGGCCAACUGUCAUUGGUCGUUCCGGAGCAGGAGGUGGCGCUAAUGCACCAAUCAGCUGGAGGCCAACCGCUGCAAUACAAGAAGAAGAAGAAGAAGAAGAAGAAGCGUUAACCGCGUAAACUGAAGAUUCUCCAGCAACAUGUUGCCUCCAACAGAGACCUAACUACUGAACAAGUCCAUCAUCCUAUUUGCACAGAAUUUGAGUAAACAGCUUUGAGGAUGGGGACUGCUGUGAUCCUUAAGAUCAUCUUGACUGAUGGCAGCCGUCAGAGGUUGACUCUCUCCCCUGGACUCCCUGCAUCCAUUGAUGACCUCAUCGUUGAAGUGAAGAAACAGUGUGGACUUCAGGGAAAUUUUGGACUUCAAUUUAUGGAUUCCUUGUUUGGAAAUGAGUUCCUUAACGUCAUCUCAAUUUCAGAAGUAGAAGACAAAGGUACUCUUAAAGUCAUUGAUAUGUCAAGGCCCACCACUAUGCAGCAUGAUGAUGAGAGGUCCACUGUUUUCAAUCCAGUCCUAAGACCCCAAGCAUUCACUUCUUCCCCUGUAAAUGACUCUUCGUCCCUGUCAGAUGGAUCUGUGGAUACAGAUAUACUGUCAUCGAGUGAGUCUACAAGCUCACGGUCCUCUUGGCCUGCUGUUUUUUAUGUGCCUAAGUUCACCUACGAUGCUGAAUUAAAACUUCAGCAGGCAAGAUUAGCUUAUAUUCAAAAUGGCACUGUACUUAUUCCAGAUCCCAAGUUGAAGUCAUCCAUCCUUGAUGGUUUAGUGCAGGAAAUUGUGCAGUAUAAAGUCUAUGUCAGUGAUAAGGAGAUGGAACAGGUAGCCCAGAGUCUUAUCAAGACGCAUCCAUGUUUAACU